rnacentral:rRNA from 1 species
CGUCCGAUUAGCUAGUUGGCGGGGUAACGGCCCACCAAGGCGACGAUCGGUAGGGGUUCUGAGAGGAAGGUCCCCCACAUUGGAACUGAGACACGGUCCAAACUCCUACGGGAGGCAGCAGUGGGGAAUAUUGCACAAUGGGGGAAACCCUGAUGCAGCGACGCCGCGUGAGCGAAGAAGUAUUUCGGUAUGUAAAGCUCUAUCAGCAGGGAAGAAAAUGACGGUACCUGACUAAGAAGCACCGGCUAAAUACGUGCCAGCAGCCGCGGUAAUACGUAUGGUGCAAGCGUUAUCCGGAUUUACUGGGUGUAAAGGGAGCGUAGACGGUUGUGUAAGUCUGAUGUGAAAGCCCGGGGCUCAACCCCGGGACUGCAUUGGAAACUAUGUAACUAGAGUGUCGGAGAGGUAAGCGGAAUUCCUAGUGUAGCGGUGAAAUGCGUAGAUAUUAGGAGGAACACCAGUGGCGAAGGCGGCUUACUGGACGAUCACUGACGUUGAGGCUCGAAAGCGUGGGGAGCAAACAGG